AGAGUUUGAUCAUGGCUCAGAACGUACGCUGGCGGCACGCCUAACACAUGCAAGUCGAACGAAGUAGCAAUACUUAGUGGCGAACGGGUGAGUAUAAUGUGGGUAUCUGCCCUUUGGUUUGGAAUAACACGAGGAAACUUGUGCUAAUACCGGAUAAGCCUUCACAGGGAAAGCUUUAGCGCCAAAGGAUGAGCCUGCACUUGAUUAGCUAGUUGGUAAGGUAAUGGCUUACCAAGGCAACGAUCAAUAGCUGUUCUUAGAGGAAGACCAGCCACAUUGGGACUGAGACACGGCCCAAACUCCUACGGGAGGCAGCAGUGGGGAAUCUUGCACAAUGGGGGAAACCCUGAUGCAGCGAUGCCGCGUGAGUGAAGAAGGCCUUUGGGUUGUAAAGCUCUUUCGUCGGGGAAGAAAAUGACUGUACCCGAAUAAGAAGGUCCGGCUAACUUCGUGCCAGCAGCCGCGGUAAUACGAAGGGACCUAGCGUAGUUCGGAAUUACUGGGCUUAAAGAGCACGUAGGUGGUUAAAAAAGUUGGUGGUGAAAUCCCAGAGCUUAACUCUGGAACUGCCAUCAAAACUUUUUAGCUAGAGUAUGAUAGAGGAAAGUAGAAUUUCUAGUGUAGAGGUGAAAUUCGUAGAUAUUAGAAAGAACACCAAUUGCGAAGGCAGCUUUCUGGAUCAUUACUGACACUGAGGAGCGAAAGCAUGGGUAGCGAAGAGGAUUAGAUACCCUCGUAGUCCAUGCCGUAAACGAUGUGUGCUAGACGUUGGAAAUUUAUUUUUCAGUGUCGCAGCUAAAGCGUUAAGCACACCGCCUGGGGAGUACGACCGCAAGGUUAAAACUCAAAUGAAUUGACGGGGACCCGAACAAGUAGUGGAGCAUGUGGUUUAAUUCGAAGAUACGCGCAGAGCCUUACCAACACUUGACAUGUUCGUCGCGACUCUAAGAGAUUAGAGUUUUCGGUUCGGCCGGACGAAACACAGGUGCUGCAUGGCUGUCGUCAGCUCGUGUCGUGAGAUGUUGGGUUAAGUCCC
rnacentral:rRNA from 1 species